AUUGAACGCUGGCGGCAGGCCUAACACAUGCAAGUAGAGCGGAGCGGGGGACGGGUGAGUAAUGCAUAGGAAUCUGACUGGUAGAGGGGGAGAAAGUCAGGAAACGGGAGCUCAUACCACAUACUAUCAGUAGAGCCUAGGUCGGAUGCCCUAGUUGGUGGGGUAAAGGCCUACCAAGGCGACGAUCAGUAACUGUUCUGAGAGGAUGAUCAGUCACACUGGAACUGAGACACGGUCCAGACUCCUACGGGAGGCAGCAGUGGGGAAUAUUGGACAAUGGGCGAAAGCCUGAUCCAGCCAUGCCUCGUGUGUGAAGAAGGUCUUCGGAUUGUAAAGCACUUUAAGUUGGGAGGCGUUACCAACAGAAUAAGCACCGGCUAACUUCGUGCCAGCAGCCGCGGUAAUAC
rnacentral:rRNA from 1 species